UGAGGAAUAUUGCGCAAUGGGGGAAACCCUGACGCAGCAACGCCGCGUGAGUGAGGAAGGUUUUCGGACCGUAAAGCUCUGUCGAGCGGGAAGAAAUGCAUGGUGGCUAAUAUCCAUCAUGCUUGCCGGUACCGCUAAAGGAAGCACCGGCUAACUCCGUGCCAGCAGCCGCGGUAAUACGGGGGGCGCGAGCGUUGUUCUGAAUACUUGGGCGUAAAGAGCGUGUAGGCGGCUGAAUAAGUCGGAUGUGAAAUCCCUGGGCUUAACCCAGGAAGUGCAGUUGAAACU
rnacentral:rRNA from 1 species